rnacentral:RNase_P_RNA from 1 species
GGAGUCGGCCAGGCAAUCGCUGUAAGUUUCUGACUUGCGGAGGAAAGUCCGGGCUCCUUCGGACGAGGCGCCAGGUAACACCUGGGGGGUGUGAGCCCACGGAAAGUGCCACAGAAAAUAUACCGCCGGAAAUGGUCCUCUGGACCUUGGCCGGUAAGGGUGAAAAGGUGCGGUAAGAGCGCACCGCGCGACUGGUAACAGUUCGCGGCACGGUAAACCCCGCCUGGAGCAAGACCAAAUAGGGGAGUGCGCGGCUUGUCCGCACCGCCGGUUCCGAGCGGACUCCCGGGUAGGUUGCUAGAGGCAGUCGGUGACGGCUGUCGCAGAUGAAUGAUUGCCCUCGACAGAACCCGGCUUAUUGCCGGCUCCUGUU